UAGAAAGCAUAAUUGGCUUUUCAGUUUUUUGUGAUUUGAUUUAACUAACAAUAGUUUUGGAAUAUGAAAGACUUUGACUCGCUGGAUGAUGGCGAUUACUUUGAGGACCGGAAUCUUGUUAGAGUUUCAGGCGUAUAAAAUUAGCACGCAAUCUUCUGAAAUUGCAUGACAAAUUGCACACCGGAAUUUGCACUUACCGAGCGAAAUUCAUUCAUGAAUUUGUAGCCGUCUCUCUCUUGUUCUCUGCAUGCUCUUAUUGUUUUCGGUUGGACACAUUUAUCACAUCAGGAAUGCAAAUGGAAAGGUUGUUAAGUUCGAUUAGACAUGCAAAUGUCGUAAACGAGCUGAGCUAAAGUUGAACCUGCACACGGCGGUCCAUGUGUGCACGUUAUUUUUAUUUUAAUCGGAUAUGGAGAACAUCGACACGGACAACAUGUGAAGCAGCAAGCCCUUUUUCGAUUCCAAACCGACAACAUUGCGAACAAAUUUUACUUGUUUUUUAAUGAAACGCUAAUUUACGGAACACACGCAACACAUUUAAUAGCCCAGCCUAUUGUCAGGGUAAGAACAUGUUAUCCUAAUUUGAACAUAAUUUUGGGUUGGUGCGAGCAAGCAAUCAAAUUUCUGCAAGAAAUAAAAUUAAUAUUAUAACAAUGUAAAGCUUGCAAAAAAAUAAAA